GCCGAUUUAGCUCAGUAGGUAGAGCGCAACAAUGGUAAUGUUGAGGUCAUCAGUUCGAUUCUGGUAAUCGGCACCA
rnacentral:tRNA from 1 species